UACAGAGGUCUCAAGCGUUGUUCGGAUUCAUUGGGCGUAAAGGGUGCGUAGGCGGCGCGGUAAGUCGGGUGUGAAAUCUCGGAGCUUAACUCCGAAACUGCAUUCGAUACUGCCGUGCUUGAGGACUGGAGAGGAGACUGGAAUUUACGGUGUAGCGGUGAAAUGCGUAGAUAUCGUAAGGAAGACCAGUGGCGAAGGCGGGUCUCUGGACAGUUCCUGACACUGAGACACGAAGGCCAGAGGAGCAAACGGG
rnacentral:rRNA from 1 species